UACGUAGGGUGCGAGCGUUGUCCGGAAUUAUUGGGCGUAAAGGGCUCGUAGGCGGUUUGUCGCGUCGGGAGUGAAAACCUCGGGCUUAACUCGGGGCUUGCUUUCGAUACGGGCAGACUGGAGGUAUGCAGGGGAGAACGGAAUUCCUGGUGUAGCGGUGAAAUGCGCAGAUAUCAGGAGGAACACCGGUGGCGAAGGCGGUUCUCUGGGCAGGACCUGACGCUGAGGAGCGAAAGUGUGGGGAGCGAACAGG
rnacentral:rRNA from 1 species